UACGGAGGGUGCGAGCGUUGUCCGGAAUCAUUGGGCGUAAAGGGCGCGUAGGUGGCCUUCUAAGCGUGCGGUGAAAGCCUGGGGCUCAACCCCGGGUCGGCCGUGCGAACUGGGGGGCUUGAGCACUGUAGAGGCAGGCGGAAUUCCGGGUGUAGCGGUGGAAUGCGUAGAGAUCCGGAAGAACACCGGUGGCGAAGGCGGCCUGCUGGGCAGUUUUGCUGACACUGAGGCGCGACAGCGUGGGGAGCAAACAGG
rnacentral:rRNA from 1 species